rnacentral:rRNA from 1 species
GAUGAACGCUAGCGACAGGCUUAACACAUGCAAGUCGAGGGGCAGCGGGGGUAGCAAUACCCGCCGGCGACCGGCGCACGGGUGAGUAACGCGUAUGCAACUUACCUAUCAGAGGGGGAUAACCCGGCGAAAGUCGGACUAAUACCGCAUGAAGCAGGGGCCCCGCAUGGGGAUAUUUGCUAAAGAUUCAUCGCUGAUAGAUAGGCAUGCGUUCCAUUAGGCAGUUGGCGGGGUAACGGCCCACCAAGGCAUCGAUGGAUAGGGGUUCUGAGAGGAAGGUCCCCCACAUUGGAACUGAGACACGGUCCAA